CCUACGGGAGGCAGCAGUGGGGAAUAUUGCGCAAUGGGCGAAAGCCUGACGCAGCGACGCCGCGUGAGGGAUGAAGGUCUUCUGAUCGUAAACCUCUGUCAGCAGGGAAGUACGGUCACUGUGCUAAUCAGCAGUGAAUUGACGGUACCUGCAAAGGAAGCACCGGCUAACUCCGUGCCAGCAGCCGCGGUAAUACGGAGGGUGCGAGCGUUAAUCGGAAUUACUGGGCGUAAAGCGCUCGUAGGCGGUAUGUCAAGUCAAGGGUGAAAGCCCCGAGCUCAACGUGGGAACUGCCUUUGAAACUGGCAAACUGGAGUGUGUGAGAGGAUAGUGGAAUUCCAGGUGUAGGAGUGAAAUCCGUAGAUAUCUGGAGGAACAUCAGUGGCGAAGGCGACUAUCUGGCACAUAACUGACGCUGAGGAGCGAAAGCGUGGGUAGCAAACAGGAUUAGAUACCCGAGUAGUC
rnacentral:rRNA from 1 species